CAGCUUUCAUGAGCGUAUAAAAAGCCGUUCGUGGUCUCCAUUCGAGCAUAACACAUAUUUUGUGCAAUUUUCAACUAUUUGGUGAGUGCUAAAUGUAUAUUGAAGUGAAAUAUUAUAAUGUUUACUUUUAUUUUUUAAUUGUAGUCUUUACUUUGUCUCAACGAAAACCAACAAAAUGGGCGCCGAAAAAGUAUUCAUGAACAUCGUUGUCGUCGGACAAAUGCAAUCCGCCAAGGCCGUCAAAAUCGUCGCCAAAAUCGCACCAUCAGCAAGCCAAUCGAUAACGGUGAGUUGACAUACAAUACAUUUUUUGAAUUUUUACCAAAACUCCUAGAUUUCGUCUUGCUUCAAUUUUACAUAGCCACCCUCAUUCAUGCCCUUCAUUUCGAAAAUUACAUUUUCUCCCAAUUAUAAUAAAUUCAAAAUAAUGUGAAAUUAUAUAAAAUUUAAUCCCUAAUACCUUUCCCGUUGGCUGAAUUUUUUUUCCAACUAAAGUGAAUUAUUAUAUACUAGUUUUAAAAUUUAUUAUGAUAUUGUUAUAUUUUUGCAAUAAAAUUAAUAUUUGCAUAAAUAAUAUCAGUGGAUAAUGUUAUACGUUCAUAAAGAAAACAGAAAAAGAAAAAAAUAUUAUUAUAAUAACUAAUGUAAAUAUUAAUAAUAUUAUUAGGAAAUAAAUUUACUGAAGUAUGAUAAAAUAAAAUAUGUUGUUUUGAAAGUAUCUUCUAACGAAAUACGUCCGUGAACAAAAAAAUUAAUUGUUUAGAAUGUUAACUAAAACAAAUAUUUAAAUAUUUAAAUAAAAACAAAUAAUUAUGUAUUUCGCAUUCUGAAAUAUUACAAAUAUUACAACAACUGUUUAUAUAUAAUUCAACAAUAACGUUAUCCUUUCCAUAAAACAUGGUGCGUUAAAAAAAAAAUUAAUUAGUUGUACAUACUUAGAAUAUUUAAUUGAAUUAAUGCAUUAAUUAUUUUUAUUAUUAUUUUUUGUUUUUGCUUCAGAACUGUUAAUUCUCGGGCGGAUCUUCAACAUGACCCGAAAAUAUGCCUUAGGUCGAAAAUGCCGAUACGUAUAUUAUUUUUAUAAAUAAAUUCUAUUUAAAAUUAUGUAUUUACAUCACACAGCAAUAAACCAUUCUGUCGUUUAGUUGGUUUUGUUUUUCAUUUAUUUAUCGCUGCCCAUUACGCUUUUAACCGUAAGAACCUAAAGGUCACAAUCGAAUACCUACCCAAAACUAUAACUAAAACAAACAAAACGGUUGGAUAAAGGAUAGAUAAAAAAACAAACUACACACGUUUUGGGUUUUGUUUUGAUAAUAAUUGUAAUAUUACAUUAUUGUGUUCCUUU